GCAUAUAAUGCAGUCGAGCGAACAGAUAAGGAGCUUGCUCCUUUGACGUUAGCGGCGGACGGGUGAGUAACACGUGGGUAACCUACCUAUAAGACUGGAAUAACUCCGGGAAACCGGGGCUAAUGCCGGAUAAUAUUUAGAACCGCAUGGUUCUAAAGUGAAAGAUGGUUUUGCUAUCACUUAUAGAUGGACCCGCGCCGUAUUAGCUAGUUGGUGGGGUAAUGGCUUACCAAGGCAACGAUACGUAGCCGACCUGAGAGGGUGAUCGGCCACACUGGAACUGAGACACGGUCCAGACUCCUACGGGAGGCAGCAGUAGGGAAUCUUCCGCAAUGGGCGAAAGCCUGACGGAGCAACGCCGCGUGAGUGAUGAAGGUCUUCGGAUCGUAAAACUCUGUUAUUAGGGAAGAACAAAUGUGUAAGUAACUGUGCACGUCUUGACGGUACCUAAUCAGAAAGCCACGGCUAACUACGUGCCAGCAGCCGCGGUAAUACGUAGGUGGCAAGCGUUAUCCGGAAUUAUUGGGCGUAAAGCGCGCGUAGGCGGUUUCUUAAGUCUGAUGUGAAAGCCCACGGCUCAACCGUGGAGGGUCAUUGGAAACUGGGAAACUUGAGUGCAGAAGAGGAAAGUGGAAUUCCAUGUGUAGCGGUGAAAUGCGCAGAGAUAUGGAGGAACACCAGUGGCGAAGGCGACUUUCUGGUCUGUAACUGACGCUGAUGUGCGAAAGCGUGGGGAUCAAACAGGAUUAGAUACCCUGGUAGUCCACGCCGUAAACGAUGAGUGCUAAGUGUUAGGGGGGUUUCCGCCCCUUAGUGCUGCAGCUAACGCAUUAAGCACUCCGCCUGGGGAGUACGACCGCAAGGUUGAAACUCAAAGGGAAUUGACGGGGACCCGCACAAGCGGUGGAGCAUGUGGUUUAAUUCGAAGCAACGCGAAGAACCUUACCAAAUCUUGACAUCCUUUGACAACUCUAGAGAUAGAGUCUUCCCCUUCGGGGGACAAAGUGACAGGUGGUGCAUGGUUGUCGUCAGCUCGUGUCGUGGAGAUGUUGGGUUAAGUCCCGCAACGAGCGCAACCCUUAAGCUUAGUUGCCAGCAUUAAGUUGGGCACUCUAAGUUGACUGCCGGUGACAAACCGGAGGAAGGUGGGGAUGACGUCAAAUCAUCAUGCCCCUUAUGAUUUGGGCUACACACGUGCUACAAUGGACAAUACAAAGGGCAGCUAAACCGCGAGGUCAUGCAAAUCCCAUAAAGUUGUUCUCAGUUCGGAUUGUAGUCUGCAACUCGACUACAUGAAGCUGGAAUCGCUAGUAAUCGUAGAUCAGCAUGCUACGGUGAAUACGUUCCCGGGUCUUGUACACACCGCCCGUCACACCACGAGAGUCUGUAACACCCGAAGCCGGUGGAGUAACCAUUUAUGGAGCUAGCCGUCGA
rnacentral:rRNA from 1 species